GAGAAAUUAGUUAAUAACAUAACAUUGGUAUGUCAAGCCAAAAUAACUAAAAAUUAGUAUUUCUCU
rnacentral:tRNA from 1 species